rnacentral:rRNA from 1 species
GACGAACGCUGGCGGCGUGCUUAACACAUGCAAGUCGAACGGAAAGGCCCCUUUGGGGGUACUCGAGUGGCGAACGGGUGAGUAACACGUGAGUAACCUGCCCUUGACUUCGGGAUAACUUCAGGAAACUGGGGCUAAUACCGGAUAGGAAUCCUUGCUGCAUGGUGGGGGUUGGAAAGCUUCGGCGGUUUUGGAUGGACUCGCGGCUUAUCAGCUUGUUGGUGGGGUAGUGGCUUACCAAGGCUUUAACGGGUAGCCGGCCUGAGAGGGCGACCGGCCACAUUGGGACUGAGAUACGGCCCAGACUCCUACGGGAGGCAGCAGUGGGGAAUAUUGCACAAUGGGCGGAAGCCUGAUGCAGCAACGCCGCGUGCGGGAUGACGGCCUUCGGGUUGUAAACCGCUUUCAGCAGGGGCGAAGCUUGUGGUGACGGUACCUGCAGAAGAAGCACCGGCUAACUACGU